rnacentral:lncRNA from 1 species
AGCUAACGGCGCCGCGCUCCGGAGCCGGGCCGGAGUGUUGCCCGGGCUGCAGCGGAGGGGGCGGAGUCUGGGCGCACUGCUGGAGGGUUCGGUUCUCGAACUCGCCUUUGUGGAGUCCCGCCGUUGGCACGUUUAGGAGCGCCGCCCUUUAAGCAGAAGGUUCUGGAUCGAAACGCUCCGCAAGAAGGCGGGAGAGGCAGGGGCCGCGUGGCAGGAGGAGCGGGAACCCUGCUACGCGGCCGACGGUGGUUUCCGAACUUGAGGUUGUGGAGAAAACUUUCCGUGCGGUCACUGCAGGGCCCCCGCCUGGUGCCACCCGAGCAGCCGGGGCCCGCGAUAUCGGCCAAGUCCCGAACACGCGUUUUUUGAAAGAGAGGUCUUAGAUUUAGUGGUCAAGGUUUUGUGUUCCCAGUCUUGUGCCGCUUUCGUGGGGCGUUGGGGUGGGACGAAUAGGGUGGGGAUAGGCAGUAGUUUCAGUCAACAGGAAGUGGGCUGCUGGCCGUUCUGUGGGCUGUGUGGCCUGAACCGGGAGACUGACAGGGGCCCCUCCUGUCCUCCUUGCUUACAGUUGGCAUCCGGGACGUCUGAAAAAGUUUUGUGUUUUGUUUUUUUGGUUUUUUAAAUUGAAGUUCUUAAUUGCUCCUUAAGGUUCUUCUCUUAAUUAUCAAACCAUAAUUUACAGUUUUUCAGAUUCACUGUAGUGGUGAUCAUUUACUGCUGCAGUAGUAGUCCUUUAAUGAUCUGUGUGUUUGUGUUCAUUUCAGGGUAAUCGAAGCUUUUCGUGUGCCAAAAAGCCGUUUGGCAACUGAGACUUAUCUUCUCAGAUAGGACACCCCCCCUCCCAACUGAACCCAGGGGUGCACUGAGCUACUUCCCAGCCCUUCCCUCCCUUUUGAGACAGGGUCUUAUUUAGUUGCCCAGGCUGCUCUUGAAAUUGUGAUCCUGCUACCUUAGCCUCCCCAGUCGCUGGCAUUAUAGACCUGUGUCACCUGCCUGGCUCAGAGCAGUGUUUUUAUUACAUUUAGUGAAAUCUCGAAUGACAAAGGAAAGAAGUUGGGCUGAAAUAGAGUUAAAAUUAUUAAAAUUAAUUUCGUAUUGUUCCAGUAGUUUUGCAUUGUGUGUACGAUUACAUAUGUGCUGCUUUUUAAGCAUUACAUAACGGACUAGUUGUAAGUCUGAAAAACUACCAUAAUUUCAAAAUAGUGAAGUGAGCAUAAAUGAGAUAUCUGUAACAACCACACAGAUGAACUGAUUUUUCCUGGUGACUGAGUGACAGUUACUGCUACUAUUGUUAUGGUUAUUGUCUACACUUAUAAUUAAAGGAAACAAUUAUGAGUUUGGUGAAAAUGAAGUUUUUUUUUUUUUUUCCUACGCAGGUUUUUUUUUUUUUUAGUUGUAGAUGGACCCAAUACCUUGGUUUUAUUUAUUUAUUUUGGGUACUGAGGAUGGAGCCCAGUGCCUCUCAAGUGCUAGGCAAGUCCUCUACCACUGAACUACAACCCAAGCCCCAGCCCCCUUACACAAGUUUUGAGCCCCUCAGAUUCUGUGCAUGGACUCCAGGAAAAGAAUGCCUGGUAAAGAGAAUUCCUUUGUAUGCCAGUUUCGGAAGCCCAGAAUUCAGGAGACUUUCCAUGAAUUCUCAAAAAUUAUUCUAAUGGCUGUGCAGUGGUUUUGGCCAAUUCCUUGAACUUAAUUCAUUCCAAAAAGUUAGAGAUGCAUAUUCUCUCUGAUGGAGAGGAAAAGAAGAAAAGUUAAUGUUCUUUUUAUUUCCAAUUGUGUUUACAUUAUCUGUAGAAAAUAGAUUACUUGAGCAGGAUGGAAAAAAAGAAUGAAAAAUCUAGAAAGACAUUCAACCUAUAACAUCAGUGAAAUGGCUCACGAUUUGAAAUGAACUGAAGUUUAGUCCCUUCAUUUUACAGAUGAGGAAACAAAGCUGAACAGUUGAACUGACUGCCAUGAGUUACAAAACCAGUUAUUUGAAAAGGUAGUUUCCUGGUCUUAUCUCCAGUAUUUUCUUCCACGCCAUGUUGUGCCAUCUGAAAGCAUGACUCUCCACUCAUUGAAUGGAUAAGGAAUGUUCAUUAUGAAACCUAAGUGGCAGAAUUUUUAUUAUAUUCCUGUAAUAGUCUUCAAGUUAUUAUUUUUUAUAAGUAUCCCAUAAAGAUAUUUUAUAAAAACUAUCCGUUGUACAAUUGUAAGUUGACAUAUAACUUUGUCAUCAUAAGAUUAAGAAAGUAUAAUGGACAUAAAUACUGGCGUUCUUUAAGGAAACUUUACAUCACCCAUUUAAAUAUAACCGGUUGAGUAUAACUCUUUGAUGUCAACCAUUGUGUUUUUUAUAAAAUACAUUUAAAGUCAUACACUUUAUAUUACUUUUUCUUCUUGAAAGUUUAUUUCCAUUCUACACAGAAUUUUAAUGUGAUUUCCAUUUAUAAUGGGCAUAUUGAUCAUUUAUCAUUUCUGGACAAAAAUA